GACGGAGGGUGCUAGCGUUAGGCGGAAUCACUGGGCUUAAAGCGUGUGUAGGCGGAUCGUUAAGUGUCUUGUGAAAUCCCACGGCUCACCCGUGGAACUGCUGGGCAUACUGGCGAUCUUGGGCCAACUAGGGGCAGCCGGAACAAGCGGUGGAGCGGUGAAAUGCGUAGAUAUCGCUUGGAACGCCGAAGGUGAAAACAGGCUGCUGGGGUUGUGCCGACGCUGAGACACGAAAGCCAGGGGAGCAAACGGG
rnacentral:rRNA from 1 species